rnacentral:rRNA from 1 species
UACGUAGGCAGCGAGCGUUGUUCGGAGUUACUGGGCGUAAAGGGUGCGUAGGCGGUUGUUUAAGUUUGGUGUGAAAUCUCCCGGCUCAACUGGGAGGGUGCGCCGAAUACUGAAUGACUAGAGUGCGGGAGAGGAUAGUGGAAUUCCUGGUGUAGCGGUGAAAUGCGUAGAUAUCAGGAGGAACACCGGUGGUGUAGACGGCUAUCUGGACCGUAACUGACGCUGGGGCACGAAAGCGUGGGUAGCAAACAGG